UCUCUCUCCGCUCUGCAAAAUUACAUUCAGCUUCACCCGUGUGACUUUCAUGAUGAGGAGAAAGAGAAAAGAUUUCCUCGGGACCUCAGAUUGCCCUUAUGGUGGUUUCUCUUUCCUUGAGGGGUACAACAGAU
rnacentral:snoRNA from 1 species